rnacentral:rRNA from 1 species
AACAAAAACAUGGCCUUUAGAGAGGAAUUUAAGGUCGGGCCUGCCCACUGAAGUAGUUGAAGGGCCGCGGUAUUUUGACCGUGCAAAGGUAGCAUAAUCAUUAGUCUUUUAAUUGAGGGCUGGAAUGAAUGGUUUGACGAAAUAUUGACUGUCUCUUUAUAAUAAAUAGAAUUUAACUUUUGAGUCAAAAGGCUUAAAUGAAUAUAAAAGACGAGAAGACCCUAUAGAUCUUUAUAUAGUUCUAUAAUUGCUUUAUUUAGUUGUUUUAUUUACGAUUAUUUAACUAUAUUUUGUUGGGGUGACAUGAAGAUAAAAGUAACUCUUUAUAAUUAAAACAUUGAUUUAUGGGUGAUUGAUCCGUUAUUAACGAUUAUAAGAUAAAGUUACCUUAGGGAUAACAGCGUAAUUUUUUUUGAGAGUUCUUAUCGACAAAAAAGAUUGCGACCUCGA